GGCCAAACUACCCUACAGACCGCGAUAACCUCGGGAAACUGAGGCCAAUAGCGGAUAUAACUCUCAGGCUGGAGUGCCGAGAGUUAGAAACGUUCCGGCGCUGUAGGAUGUGGCUGCGGCCGAUUAGGUAGAUGGUGGGGUAACGGCCCACCAUGCCGAUAAUCGGUACAGGUUGUGAGAGCAAGAGCCUGGAGACGGUAUCUGAGACAAGAUACCGGGCCCUACGGGGCGCAGCAGGCGCGAAACCUUUACACUGCACGACAGUGCGAUAGGGGGACUCCGAGUGUGAGGGCAUAUAGCCCUCGGCUUUUCUGAACCGUAAGGUGGUUCAGGAACAAGGACUG
rnacentral:rRNA from 1 species